AUGCUGCUCUCCAGCCUGCUGUGGGCAUAUGCGGCCUUCAUCUUCUCUGGAUCCAGCGUGGCCCAGAAAAUUAUUCAAGACCAGUCACCCAUAGUCAAGCAAGAGGGGACAGCAGCCACCACCCUGAACUGUCGGUAUGAAACAAGUCAGAUCACCUACCAUAUUUUUUGGUAUAAGCAGCUUACAAGUGGAAAGCUCAUUUUUCUUAUUCGUCAGUCUUCUUAUGGCCAAAAUACAAAGACUAGCCGCUAUUCUACAAACUUCCAGGAAACAGCAAAAUCCAUCAAUUUCACCAUUUCAACCUUACAGCUAAAAGAUUCAGGAAAAUAUUUCUGUGUUCUCUGGGAACUCACGGUGUUUAAAGUAAUGGUAAAAGCUGAACAAAAACCCCAGAGCUCAGUAAGAGAGUCCCCCCACUGCAGAAGCCAAGCUGAAAUGCACACCUGCAGAUCCCAGACACAUAAUGGCAGUGGCCAUGGUUGCUUAAUCUGUGGUUUGGAUCAGAAGACUUAA